UACGAAGGGGCUAGCGUUGCUCGGAAUCACUGGGCGUAAAGCGCAUCGUAGGCGGCUUCUAAGUCAGGGGUGAAAUCCUGGAGCUCAACUCCAGAACGUGCCUUUGAUACUGGAGAGCUUGAGUCCGGAAGAGGUGAGUGGAACUCCGAGUGUAGAGGUGAAAAUUCGUAGAUAUUCGCAAGAACACCAGUGGCGAAGGCGGCUCACUGGCCCGA
rnacentral:rRNA from 1 species